rnacentral:tRNA from 1 species
AUCUAAGUGGUGUAAAAAACAUGUUAAACUGUAAAUUUAAAGAUUUAUUUCUAGGUU